GGUGCUGUGGCUUAGUUGGUACAAAGUACCUGUCUUGUAAACAGGAGAUCCUGGGUUCAAAUCCUAGCAGCACCU